AGGUCAUUGCUAUUGGAGUCCGAUUUAGCCAUGCUAGUUGUACGAGUUUAGACUCGUAGCAAAUAGCUCAGUAAACACGUGGCCAAACUACCCUAUCGAUGCACAAUACUCUCGGGAAACUGAGGUUAAUAGUGCAUACGGCUCGCUGCCUGGAGUGGCGCGAGCUCGAAAUGCUCAGGCGCGAUAGGAUGUGGCUGCGGCCGAUUAGGUAGACGGUGGGGUAACGGCCCACCGUGCCGAUAAUCGGUACGGGUUGUGAGAGCAAGAGCCCGGAGACGGUAUCUGAGACAAGAUACCGGGCCCUACGGGGCGCAGCAGGCGCGAAACCUUUACACUGCACGAGAGUGCGAUAAGGGGACUCCAAGUGCGAGGGCAUAUAGUCCUCGCUUUUUCCGACCGUAGGAUGGUCGGCGAAUAAGUGCUGGGCAAGACCGGUGCCAGCCGCCGCGGUAAUACCGGCAGCACAAGUGAUGACCGCUAUUAUUGGGCCUAAAGCGUCCGUAGCUGGCCACGCAAGUCCAUCGGGAAAUCUCCCCGCUCAACGGGGAGGCGUCCGGUGGAAACUGCAUGGCUUGGGACCGGAAGAUCCAGAGGGUACGUCUGGGGUAGGAGUGAAAUCCUGUAAUCCGAGACGGACCACCGGUGGCGAAAGCGCUCUGGAAAGACGGAUCCGACGGUGAGGGACGAAAGCUCGGGUCACGAACCGGAUUAGAUACCCGGGUAGUCCGAGCUGUAAACGAUGUCUGCUAGGUGUGGCACAGGCUACGAGCCUGUGCUGUGCCGUAGGGAAGCCGUGAAGCAGACCGCCUGGGAAGUACGUCUGCAAGGAUGAAACUUAAAGGAAUUGGCGGGGGAGCACUACAACCGGAGGAGCCUGCGGUUU
rnacentral:rRNA from 1 species